AGGUCCCAUAUUAACUAAAACUGUGCAGCAAUCUCAAUCAAAGGCUUCGUUUCGUCACAUAGAGACAGUGGCUCUCUGAAUCAUAGUUCAUAUGCUUAUGCAGCAGACACCACAAUGGUGGUGCAGUCCUUGGGGAGUGAGGACUUGCUUACUCGCUUUAGUCAUGGAACUAGCCUCUCAACGCAAGGUAUUAAGGUUAAAUAUCUUUAACGAUCCCCAAAUUCCACACCGGUGUGUGCUUUGUGCGCUAGGAUGACCAUUUCUAUAUUGAAGUUAGAUUGGUGAGCUAGUCUUAAUAUAAAACACAAUUAAAAGGCAAUUAUUUAUAUGAUUAAAUUGUACAAAACCUGUAUGGUUUUGUUCCUUCUUUUUGUUGCAUUUCAAUAGAAAUCUUCUAUGUUUUGAGACUGAAUGAAUGGGUUGUAAGACUUCUAGCUUGUGCUGUGUAGACGUUGCUAAAAUCAUUACUAUCAGUCUGUGGUAAUAGGCAUAAUAUAAACGCCAUGUUUGGUUCCUUUUGAUGCAAGGUUCUACUGUGUAAGAUGUAUUGGAUAUGAAACCUGUUUGAACUUCUAGUCAUUAUGUCCAUCUUUUUAUGUUCUCUGUAUGUCAUUCAACAUUAAUAGUGUAGGCAAUGUUUUUUUUUUGUUGCCAUUGCUGUUAUUUCAGCAAAGUUAAGUUCAUUCUGUAUGUGUGAUUUCUGAAGUCACGAUGCACAUUAUAUUGUCCUUAAAUUACAAGAUUCAUCGCAAAUUUCAAAAACAUUAUGUUCAUUGACUUAUGUGAUAUAUUUGACUGUUAAAUAUAAUCAAGAAUAGGCUUAAUUAGGCAUAAUUAGGCUUAAUUAGAAAAGUUUCCAUUUUUAGUAACUGUUUGGAAAACAGUUAAUUCUGUUUUGCUAUUGUUGGAAAGUAGCCGUUUUCGGUUGAUUUUCGAAAAAUUGAAACCUGUAUAAGUUCAAGCUCAUUACACGAAUGCAUAUGUGAAGUAUUAUCCAAUUCUAUCUUGAUUUACUUGUUCAAUUUUAGUUUCCCAAAUUUUCGUUUUCUAACACUCUUAAGAACCCUAAUUCUUCUCUUCUUCACCAUUCUUCAAUUGCUUCAUACCCAAGUUAAUUCUUAGCUCACUGAAUCUUUCCCCCAACCUUUUUUGAUCCAAUUUUCGUGUUUGGUAUUCUUUCUGUUUCCCACAUUGACGAGGCAUAUAAACAUAGACUAGUUUCAGUUCUAUAUAUCAGAUUUAGAGAAAAAUACAUUCCAUGAAACUAUGAAUUUUUUGAAGGUUGUUGGUGGGGUGGAUAUGAUACGACUAAUAAAGCAUUGCAAAAAUUCAUAUAUUGUGGACUUACGAAAUUUCGAAAUUGAAGGAAAAGAUGAUAAGAAUCACGAAGAGCAAGCUUACACCAACUUGAUCAAAUUGGCCCAUGUGCAUCAUACCAUCAGUUAGGGCCAUGCCCAUCGUGACUGAGGAACUGGGCCAAAUGACCAAGGAGCAGAAGAUCGUGACCGGGCCAACAGGGACCAGACUAAUUGAGGUGAUACUGGCCAUGACCGAACCAGACUUGGCCAGGAUGACCAAGAUGACGGAGGAAGGACUGGCCAUGACCGUGCUAAUCCAAAUGAAGCUGACCGAGAUGACUGGGCCAACACUAGCCAGCAUGAUCGUGCAAACCAAGCCAAUACUGACCGACACACUUGGCUUGUUGACCAUGCUAGGAAUGGAGACCCUAACUGAGCUGGACUGGCUUAGGCCCAAGAUAGUCCAGGGCUAGCAGAAUACUUCCUUGGGGCAUUUUGUUGAGCACAUGUGUUUUUACUGGACUGUUUUCUUGUUGUGCAAGCAAUAGUUUUUUAAUUGAUUUUUUGUCUAUUUGAUUAGACGGUUAAUGCAUAAUUAACUCUUAAAUCUUGGUUUAGCAUUAGGAUUAAACUUGGGUUAUUUUUUGGUCGUUUUAACAGAUAGAUUUGUUUGUG
rnacentral:lncRNA from 1 species